CGCUUAGGCAUGCAGUCGGACGGUGAAGCCCCUUCGGGGGUGGAAUAGUGGCGAACGGCUGAAUAACGCGUAAGUAACCUACCCCCGAGUGGGGAAUAACUCCGGGAAAUCGGAGCUAAUACCGCAUAAUCCGUUCUGUCGCAUGGCAUAACGGCAAAGGUUUCGGCCGCUUGGGGAUGGGCUUGCGUUCUAUCAGGUAGUUGGUGAGGUAAAGGCCCACCAAGCCAAUGACGGAUAGCUGGUCUGAGAGGAUGAUCAGCCAGAGGGGGACUGCGACACGGCCCCCACUCCUACGGGAGGCAGCAGCAGGGAAUCUUGCGCAAUGGGCGAAAGCCUGACGCAGCGACGCCGCGUGCGGGAAGAAGGCCUUCGGGUUGUAAACCGCUUUUCUGAGGGAAGAGAAAGGACGGUACCUCAGGAAUAAGCCUCGGCUAACUACGUGCCAGCAGCCGCGGUGAUACGUAGGAGGCAAGCGUUGUCCGGAUUUACUGGGCGUAAAGGGCGUGUAGGCGGUACAGAAAGUCUUUGCUUAAAUAUCCCGGCUCAACUGGGAGAGUGGCAGAGAUACUUCUGAACUAGAGGACAGUAGAGGAGAGUGGAAUUCCCGGUGUAGUGGUGGAAUGCGUAGAUAUCGGGAGGAACACCAGUGGCGAAAGCGGCUCUCUGGGCUGUACCUGACGCUGAGGCGCGAAAGCGUGGGUAGCAAACCGGAUUAGAUACCCGGGUAGUCCACGCCAUAAACGAUGGAUGCUGGGUAUAGAGGGUAUCGACCCCUUCUGUGCCGAAGCUAACGCGUUAAGCAUCCCGCCUGGGAACUACGGCCGCAAGGCUAAAACUCAAAGGAAUUGACGGGGGCCCGCACAAGCAGCGGAGCGUGUGGUUUAAUUCGAUGCUAAGCGAAGAACCUUACCAGGC
rnacentral:rRNA from 1 species